rnacentral:rRNA from 1 species
CGGGGGGGCGGUCUAUACUGCAGUCGAGCGAAUGGAUGUAAGAGCUUGCUCUUAUGAAGUUAGCGGCGGACGGGUGAGUAACACGUGGGUAACCUGCCCGUACGACUGGGAUAACUCCGGGAAACCGGGGCUAAUACCGGAUAAUUUUUUCAAACGCAUGGGUCUAAAUUGAAAGGAGGUUUCGGCUGUCACUUAUGGAUGGACCCGCCUCUCAUUAGCUAGUGGGGGAGGUAACGGCUCACGAAAGCAACCAUGCCCAACCUACCUGGGAGGGCGAUCGGCCUGGCUGUGACUGACACCCCGCCCUCACUCCUACGGGAGGCAUCAGGAAGGAAUCUUCCUGAAUGAACGAAUGACUGACGGACCCCCCCCGCGUGAUUGAUGAAGGCUUUCCGGUCGUAAAACUCUGUUGGUAAGAAAGAACGGGAGGUACUUCAAUACUCUGGGACCUUGACGGUACCUACCCAGAUAGCCACGGGUAACUACCCGCCAGCAUCCGCAGGAAUACGUAGGUGGCAGGAGUUAUCCGGAAUUAUUGGGCGUCAAGCGCGCGCUUGUGGCUUCUUAGAUCUGAUGCGAAUCCCCCCGGCUCGGCCGUGUAGGGCCGUUGGACUCUGGUACACUUGAGUGCAGAGGAGGACCGUGUAUUUCCAUGUGUAGCGUAGAGAUGCGUAGAGAUAUGCAUGACACCGCUGGUCACUGCGACUUUACUGGACUGUAACUGACGCUGACGCGCGAAGCGAGGGGAUCAACACGCAUGACAUACCCUGCUAGUACACGUCGGUAGACCGAUGGAGUUGCUGAGUGCUAGGAGGGCUUUCGCGCCCUUUAGUGGCUGUAG